GCAGCAGCGAGAGGCCCAGAAGAGGAAGAGCCUGGUGGACAUGAAGAGGGCACGAGCAGAGGCGAGGCCAACAGGGACAGUGAUGCUGAGGACCCUCGACUAACUGCGAACCGGAAUACCUCAUCAUCUGAUGCUCAGCAAAAUUACUCAUGGGGAGAAAUACCAGUUCUACAAAAGCACCAAGGAGAAAAAGAGUGUCAUUGAACUUGUUCCUCUCUUCCUGUGUUUUUUAUAAACCAAGAUUUGGAACGAAUGCCUGGAUGAGCUGUGGGUUAAAAGGUUUCAGCAAUCACAUUCCAGAGGUCUGUUUCAGCAUAUUCAGAAACAUCACGAGUGAAUCAACGACUAAGUACAUCAGAAUG